rnacentral:rRNA from 2 species
CAGUCGACGCUUUGUGGUUCACUGAUUUGAAGAGCUUGCUCAGAUAUGACGAUGGACAUUGCAAAGAGUGGCGAACGGGUGAGUAACACGUGGGAAACCUACCUCUUAGCAGGGGAUAACAUUUGGAAACAGAUGCUAAUACCGUAUAACAAUGACAACCGCAUGGUUGUUAUUUAAAAGAUGGUUCUGCUAUCACUAAGAGAUGGUCCCGCGGUGCAUUAGCUAGUUGGUAAGGUAAUGGCUUACCAAGGCGAUGAUGCAUAGCCGAGUUGAGAGACUGAUCGGCCACAAUGGGACUGAGACACGGCCCAUACUCCUACGGGAGGCAGCAGUAGGGAAUCUUCCACAAUGGGCGAAAGCCUGAUGGAGCAACGCCGCGUGUGUGAUGAAGGGUUUCGGCUCGUAAAACACUGUUGUAAGAGAAGAAUGACAUUGAGAGUAACUGUUCAAUGUGUGACGGUAUCUUACCAGAAAGGAACGGCUAAAUACGUGCCAGCAGCCGCGGUAAUACGUAUGUUCCAAGCGUUAUCCGGAUUUAUUGGGCGUAAAGCGAGCGCAGACGGUUAUUUAAGUCUGAAGUGAAAGCCCUCAGCUCAACUGAGGAAUUGCUUUGGAAACUGGAUGACUUGAGUGCAGUAGAGGAAAGUGGAACUCCAUGUGUAGCGGUGAAAUGCGUAGAUAUAUGGAAGAACACCAGUGGCGAAGGCGGCUUUCUGGACUGUAACUGACGUUGAGGCUCGAAAGUGUGGGUAGCAAACAGGAUUAGAUACCCUGGUAGUCCACACCGUAAACGAUGAGUGCUAGGUGUUUGAGGGUUUCCGCCCUUAAGUGCCGCAGCUAACGCAUUAAGCACUCCGCCUGGGGAGUACGACCGCAAGGUUGAAACUCAAAGGAAUUGACGGGGACCCGCACAAGCGGUGGAGCAUGUGGUUUAAUUCGAAGCAACGCGAAGAACCUUACCAGGUCUUGACAUCCCUUGACAACUCCAGAGAUGGAGCGUUCCCUUCGGGGACAAGGUGACAGGUGGUGCAUGGUUGUCGUCAGCUCGUGUCGUGAGAUGUUGGGUUAAGUCCCGCAACGAGCGCAACCCUUAUUACUAGUUGCCAGCAUUCAGUUGGGCACUCUAGUGAGACUGCCGGUGACAAACCGGAGGAAGGUGGGGAUGACGUCAAAUCAUCAUGCCCCUUAUGACCUGGGCUACACACGUGCUACAAUGGCGUAUACAACGAGUUGCCAACCCGCGAGGGUGAGCUAAUCUCUUAAAGUACGUCUCAGUUCGGAUUGUAGGCUGCAACUCGCCUACAUGAAGUCGGAAUCGCUAGUAAUCGCGGAUCAGCACGCCGCGGUGAAUACGUUCCCGGGUCUUGUACACACCGCCCGUCACACCAUGAGAGUUUGUAACACCCAAAGCCGGU